AACGCUGGCGGCGUGCCUAACACAUGCAAGUCGAACGGGGAUUUGUUUCGGCAGAAUCCUAGUGGCGAACGGGUGAGUAACGCGUAGGCAACCUGCCCUCCGGCCGGGGACAACACUCCGAAAGGGGUGCUAAUACCGGAUACGAAGUCUGUGCCGCAUGGUACGGAUUUGAAAGAUGGCCUCUAUUUAUAAGCUAUCGCCGGGGGAUGGGCCUGCGUCCGAUUAGCUGGUUGGUGGGGUAACGGCCUACCAAGGCGACGAUCGGUAGCCGGUCUGAGAGGAUGAACGGCCACAUUGGGACUGAGACACGGCCCAGACUCCUACGGGAGGCAGCAGUGGGGAAUCUUCCGCAAUGGGCGCAAGCCUGACGGAGCAACGCCGCCGUGAGUGAGGAAGUUCUUCGGAACGUAAAGCUCUGUUGUUCCUGACGAACCUCCCUUCUAUCAACAACGGAGGGGACUGACGGUAGGGAACGAGGAAGCCACGGCUAACUACGUGCCAGCCGCCGC
rnacentral:rRNA from 1 species